rnacentral:rRNA from 1 species
GAUGAACGCUGGCGGCGUGCCUAAUACAUGCAAGUCGAGCGAACAGACGAGGAGCUUGCUCCUCUGACGUUAGCGGCGGACGGGUGAGUAACACGUGGAUAACCUACCUAUAAGACUGGGAUAACUUCGGGAAACCGGAGCUAAUACCGGAUAAUAUAUUGAACCGCAUGGUUCAAUAGUGAAAGACGGUUUUGCUGUCACUUAUAGAUGGAUCCGCGCCGCAUUAGCUAGUUGGUAAGGUAACGGCUUACCAAGGCAACGAUGCGUAGCCGACCUGAGAGGGUGAUCGGCAACACUGGAACUGAGACACGGUCCAGACUCCUACGGGAGGCAGCAGUAGGGAAUCUUCCGCAAUGGGCGAAAGCCUGACGGAGCAACGCCGCGUGAGUGAUGAAGGUCUUCGGAUCGUAAAACUCUGUUAUUAGGGAAGAACAAAUGUGUAAGUAACUAUGCACGUCUUGACGGUACCUAAUCAGAAAGCCACGGCUAACUACGU